AACGAACGCUGGCGGCGUGGAUAAGACAUGCAAGUCGAACGGGACUAAAUCUGUAGCAAUACAGGUUUAGUUUAGUGGCGAACGGGUGCGUAACACGUGGGCAAUCUGCCGAGAAGUGGGGGAUAGCUCGCCGAAAGGCGAAUUAAUACCGCAUAUGAUCAGCUAAGACAUCUUAGCGACAUCAAAGCCGGGUAACCUGGCGCUUCUUGAUGAGCCCGCGCCUAUCAGCUAGUUGGUGAGGUAACGGCUCACCAAGGCUAUGACGGGUAGCUGGUCUGAGAGGACGACCAGUCACACUGGAACUGAGACACGGUCCAGACA
rnacentral:rRNA from 1 species